rnacentral:rRNA from 1 species
CCCGAAUUGUAAUUUGUAGAGGAUGUUUCNGCUCACGCCCCGGUCUAAGUUCCUUGGAACAGGACGUCACAGAGGGUGAGAACCCCGUUUGUGGCCGGCGGCUUACGCCAUGUGAAACUCCUUCGACGAGUCGAGUUGUUUGGGAAUGCAGCUCUAAAUGGGAGGUAAAUUUCUUCUAAAGCUAAAUACUGGCCAGAGACCGAUAGCGCACAAGUAGAGUGAUCGAAAGAUGAAAAGCACUUUGGAAAGAGAGUUAAAAAGUACGUGAAAUUGUUGAAAGGGAAGCGCUUGCGACCAGACUUGCCCGCGGAUGCUCAGCCGGUCCUUCGGCCGGUGUACUCUUCCGCGGUCAGGCCAGCAUCAGUUCGGGCGGUCGGAUAAAGGCCUUGGGAAUGUAACUCACCUCGGUGAGUGUNAUAGCCCUCGGUACAAUACGGCCCGCCUGGACUGAGGAACGCGCUUCGGCUAGGAUGCUGGCGUAAUGGUCGUAAGCGGCCCGUCUUGAAACACGGACCAAGGAGUCUAACAUCUAUGCGAGUGUUUGGGUGUCAAACCCGUGCGCGAAAUGAAAGUGAACGGAGGUGGGAGNCCUCACGGGUGCACCAUCGACCGAUCCUGAUGUCUUCGGAUGGAUUUGAGUAAGAGCAUAGCUGUUGGGACCCGAAAGAUGGUGAACUAUGCCUGAAUAGGGUGAAGCCAGAGGAAACUCUGGUGGAGGCUCGCAGCGGUUCUGACGUGCAAAUCGAUCGUCAAAUUUGGGUAUAGGGGCGAAAGACUAAUCGAACCAUCUAGUAGCUGGUUCCUGCCGAAGUUUCCCUCAGGAUAGCAGUGACGUUUUCAGUUUUAUGAGGUAAAGCGAAUGAUUAGAGGACUGGGGGAAGUAACUUCCUUCACCUAUUCUCAAACUUUAAAUAUGUAAGAAGUCCUUGUUGCUUAAUUGAACGUGGACAUUUGAAUGUACCGUCACUAGUGGGCCAUUUUUGGUAAGCAGAACUGGCGAUGCGGGAUGAACCGAACGCGAGGUUAAGGUGCCGGAAUGCACGCUCAUCAGACACCACAAAAGGUGUUAGUUCAUCUGGACAGUCGGACGGUGGCCAUGGAAGUCGGAAUCCGCUAAGGAGUGUGUAACAACUCACCGACCGAAUGAACUAGCCCUGAAAAUGGAUGGCGCUCAAGCGUGCUACCCAUACCUCGCCGCCAGGGUAGAUACGAUGCCCUGGCGAGUAGGCAGGCGUGGAGGUCAGUG